CAUUGUCUCAUGAAAUAAAAUAUGAGAUAAUACCUGCCCAGUGACAACUGUUCAACGGCCGCGGUAUCCUAACCGUGCAAAGGUAGCAUAAUCACUUGCCUAUUAAUUGUAGGCUAGAAUGAAGGGGUUAACGAAAUAAAGACUGUCUCAAUUAAUAAACUAAAAAUUAUUUUCUAUCUGAAGAAAGGUAGAUAAACUCGAAGGACAAGAAGACCCUAUAGAGCUUAAUUUUAACUAUAGAACCAACCUAUAGAAAAUAUUCGGUUGGGGCGACCCAGGGCUAAAUAAUCACCCACCACACAAAAGAUAUAUUAAUCAAAUAAGUGACCCUUAAAGAUCAUAAGAACAAGCUACCUUAGGGAUAACAGGCUAAUCCCACUUAAGAGUCCUUAUCGACAGUGGGGAUUGGCACCUCGAUGUUGGCUUAGGGUAUCUAUAUAGCGCAAAAGUUAUAUAAAGAUGGUUUGUUCAACCAAUGACACCCUACGUGA
rnacentral:rRNA from 1 species